AUGCAGAAUAGUAUUGGGAGGUGAUUGAUAAGCUGAUUGAGGAGGAUGAAUUUGAUGCAGAUCAAAAGGAUGCAUUUAAGGCUAGAGAAGCCCGAAAAAAGGCCUUGCAAAAAUGAGUUAGUAGACUAAAGUAGCAUUUGAAAACAUGAAGUUUAACAAGUUCUACUCAGUCCAGACCAAUGAUACUCCUGACAUAUCAAAUG